rnacentral:lncRNA from 1 species
AAGCUCCACUUUAAAGCUACUUAAGUUGAUUCCCUCUGUUACUCUUAUUGGAAGGCAGUUCCAGACAGGUGGAGGGUGGCUAGACAGUUGUAUUGAUCUCUGAAUUCCCUGGAAAUACUAUUUAUAAAAUGUUAAGCAAUUCGUUAAGGAUUUCCAAGUGGGUGUUUCUGAUUGUUCAAUACAUAGCAAUUGUUCUGCUGAUAACAAUCCUCUUGAAAGAGCCUGAAGCAAUACCCUGAAGUAUUCACUGUAUCCAAGGACCAUAUUUCAGUUUGUUCAUUUGUUUUUCAAGAGCCUGAGCGUACGAGAGAAGUAAAAUGCCAUGUAUGGUAGCAGUAUGUUCACUCACUCUUGUCAUACGUGCUUUCAAGACUCAUUUGACUUUGCUCAUUGACUCUGAACUGUGGUUACAACUACCACACAUAAUCACCAGGGAUCUACACUGCAGCAUCCCCAUGCAAGUCGAUUCUUACUGCUCUGCUGCAUCUUAGCUUUCAGGAUGAAAACUUAUUCAGCAUUUCUUCUGGCCUCAUAUUUGAAGGAAUGCUCUUAUGCAUACAAUUGUUUUUAGAGAAAAUGAAGAUUAAGAUUUUUACUAGGAAAAUACUAAACCUGCAUGUCAGACUUCUGUGUGGGUACAUUUUAUGUCUCGCUUCCUUGUAGAGUACGUGUCAUCUGAUGACUUUAACUAUUCCCUUUCUACAUCAGUCUCUGACACUGCUAACACUAUGUUAUUUAGUUUACUCCUGUAAAUGAAACACUGAGCCCUUUUGAAGUUAAUGGAAAAAAAAAAAAAAAAAAAAAAGCCUUCCUAUUUUUAAUGUGAGUUAUUGUCUUUCAGUAAGGGUACUAAUUGGAUCUUUGUGCUACCAGCAAGUGCUGUCCUUUGAUUUGAAAAGUGAGCUUCAAAACGCAGAUGCUCUUGCUAUUAUAUUCUGCUGAAGGAUCUGAACAUUUUACUCUGAGAACAGCAUUAAAUUAAAAAACAAAAAACGAACAAACAAAAAAAACACAACUAGUAAUAUAUCCCAUUGGUCUGCUCUGAAAUCAUUUGUACAGUAGAAAUUAAUAUUUGUACAGUGAAGCACUUUUGCAUUCUUGGAUGAAAGACGAUAUGUUUAAAAGCAAAGUAUUAAAAUUCAUCUCUGCAAUGAUUUUCUAAAGAAAAAACUGAGCAAUUCAGUAUAAUUAGUCAACUAAUAAAAAAAAUUAAAAAUGCUUAAUAAUCUGUAAUUUACAUUUCUCGGUGGAAACCAAUAUUAUGCCUAGAUUACAGUCAGGAUAAUAUAAUUAGUAGAAUGACUGACUCAAAUUAAUCAUGACUGAAGAUCUGAUUACUAUAAGGGAUCAUACUACUAUCACAGUCUUUAUGUACUUUCUCCUUUUAUCUUCUUAUUACAGCACCAAUUUUUUCCCUCUGUGCAGAAAGUGUACAUGAUUUUCACUUGCCAGUGUCUUAAAACUGCUGCUUUGAUAUUAUAAUGCACAUCUUGUGAAUGACGGGCCUCAAAAUAAUUCUAUUCUUACAAAGAAGAAACUGAAGACAAGGACAACUGUUUUUAAUAAUAUUAUUUACAAGGUGCUAAUGUGCAAUUUGUUGCCUGUCAAAACAGUGGGAAUUAUGUUCUCAUUCUGUGUUAAAUAUAAUUAGCUAAUACUUUCUAGAGGACAUGCAGACAGAAUAGGUAUCUCAUAUUUUAUAGCUGUGUUACUGAUUUCAUUAUUUGUCUUCAUUUUUUUUUCUCUCUCUCAGAACACAAGAUUUUAAGAUAUGUCUCCGAGAUGCUCAAAUGAAAUCUACUAUAAAGAAGUUGAGUUUUCUCUUUAAGGGAAUUAACGUUCUGUAUAAAAAAGCAUCAAGAAAGAUGUUUUAAAGGAGAUAACUAUGAAUUAGGUUGUGCAUAAUUAAUUUUUACAUAAUUU